UGACAAUUCAAGAGUAAGGUGAAGGACCUAGAAGAGUCAGAACCCUAAGUCCACUAUGCCAAGCAACCCUCCAGGUGUUGGGAAAAUCAUUUAAAUGGAAGGAGGACCAGGCUGGCAUUCCAUUCUGCCUGCUCAGGCAGGAUUGAUGGCUUUUGCUGGGGUGGCACCGGAAAGCCUGUGGAUCUGCAGUGUCUGACGUCACAGGCCUUUAAAACACCAAGAAGCAAGUUUCCAGUCUGUGAGCCGAUAAUGGAAGAGAAAGAUGAACGGGACUGUGAGCUGUGUCCAGGAGCCUGAGCAAGGAGCCAAGAGUGGGACAAAGGGACUGGAAGAAGAGCCCUCUCCCCACCCCACUGCCUUCCAGAUAAACCCUGAAUUCCCUGGAUGGACAUUCAAGGCUUUCAGUAUCUAACUCCACCAGAGCUGUCCACUUUCCUUGAUUUCCUCCCUGACAGUCUCUCAGAACAAGUGUUGGCCUUGCUACUGUCCAUACUGCCGGGGCAGUGACCUUGUCUUAUUUAUUGGUGCAUCUCCAGUGCUUGGCUCUGUGGCUGAGCUGUAUGCACUGAUAAAAGGUGGAUGCUUACUCCAGAACCGGGAACCUUUUAUCUGACGGAGCUCCCUGCCUGGAAAACCCUCAUUCUUCCCCCUCCCAGGCAAGGUCUAGCCCUUCCUUUGUGCCCAGCGCAAGCCUGCCCUCUCCACGAAGUUCCCACCCCCAUUCACAACCAAGGUCUUUAAAACAUACACGGAGGCAAUAUGCGUAUCUGGUUUCUCUGAACACCCGCGUCCGUGCUUAAUUCCAGCCUGUUCUGUUUUUAAAAUUCAAGUUGUUUUCCUCCUGUGGGAAAGGGCAUGGAAUCUGGAGGACGAUAAUACUAAUCUAUCAUUCAGUUCCUAUCUUGAGUGAUUUGCAUGCAUGGUAUCAUUAAAAAAAAUUUUUUUU